UCCAUCACGGGAUGUCCUCGCUGCCAACUACAUCUGCUCCCAUCUACCCCGCCGCCCCGUCUCCCCUGAGUCCCCUCUCCCAAACCCCACGGUGAAUUCAGAUCCGACAUUCCGGUCUGGCGGGGAAGGCAGGUAUUGCGGCCAAGCGACAACGAUGAUGAUAAGGAAGACCCUGGGGCCAUGUGACGGGAGCAAGUCACACAGACACAGGCGCUUCCUGACCAGCAGGAGACGCCGCAAUGGCUGCGAGGAGGAGGUUGCCAAGCGGGAGUGAGGAAUCUCCCGUGGUAGCCGGGGCCGCUGCUGAUUCAGACAAGGCGAGUAAGAGGGAUGCAGGCCAUGCCAGGGCCGCGGAGGCGUCCACCACCGUACAACAUGCAUGGAGAUGAGGUGGCGGCUCGAGCUGCAGCGGGCGCGGCCAUACGAGCUCGUCGUCGGGAGGAGGGAGGCCACCGAGGGCAUCUAGCGGCAAAAGGAUCAGCUUUAGGUACAGAUCGAGCCGGUGCUACUGCUCUCUAGGGCUCUUGCCGCGCUGCACAACUACAAAUGCAGAAUCUGGGGAGGGGUUAUCUGUGGAGAAGGCACGGCUUGGAGAUCUGGAGAGGCUGCUUAAGACGAGGCAGUAUUGUAUCCAGGUUGCUGCCUUGUAACAUGUGGUAUUCCAUGAGCUGUCGAUCAGUUGCAGAAAAUUGUCUUCCAUGUUCUGAGAAAAUGAUUAUCUCUGUAGAUCCUGCCGAGUUAGACAUGCUGCACACGUUUUAACGACAUAUCAGAUUUCCAUUCUUGAAGAUCACAGGUGCAUUGUGUCUUAUAUUUUUUAGAACAAUUAAAAAUAUGUAGUAGAUGCAACUGCAGACCUAGGAUUUAGUUCAUGUCCUUUGUGGGUACGCCCAGGAUAAGAUGGUACUGGUCAAGAUGUAUGUUGAUCUUAGCCGCUUCUUAUGGACACAUGAGAAUUUUUUGUUUUCC